CAUUACCGAGUUUACAACUCCCAAACCCAAUGUGAACCAUACCAAACUGUUGCCUCGGCGGGGUCACGCCCCGGGUGCGUCGCAGCCCCGGAACCAGGCGCCCGCCGGAGGGACCAACCAAACUCUUUCUGUAGUCCCCUCGCGGACGUUAUUUCUUACAGCUCUGAGCAAAAAUUCAAAAUGAAUCAAAACUUUCAACAACGGAUCUCUUGGUUCUGGCAUCGAUGAAGAACGCAGCGAAAUGCGAUAAGUAAUGUGAAUUGCAGAAUUCAGUGAAUCAUCGAAUCUUUGAACGCACAUUGCGCCCGCCAGUAUUCUGGCGGGCAUGCCUGUCCGAGCGUCAUUUCAACCCUCGAACCCCUCCGGGGGGUCGGCGUUGGGGACUUCGGGAACCCCUAAGACGGGAUCCCGGCCCCGAAAUACAGUGGCGGUCUCGCCGCAGCCUCUCCUGCGCAGUAGUUUGCACAACUCGCACCGGGAGCGCGGCGCGUCCACGUCCGUAAAACACCCAACUUCUGAAAUGUUGACCUCGGAUCAGGUAGGAAUACCCG
rnacentral:misc_RNA from 1 species